rnacentral:rRNA from 1 species
AACGAACGCUGGCGGCAUGCCUAACACAUGCAAGUCGAACGAGACCUUCGGGUCUAGUGGCGCACGGGUGCGUCACGCGUGGGAACCUGCCCUUAGGUUCGGACUAACUCCCCGAAAGGGGUGCUAAUACCGGAUAAUGUCUUCGGACCAAAGAUUUAUCGCCUUUGGAUGGGCCCGCGUUGGAUUAGCUAGUUGGUAGGGUAAAAGCCUACCAAGGCGACGAUCCAUAGCUGGUCUGAGAGGAUGGUGAGCCACACUGGGACUGAGACACGGCCCAGACUCCUACGGGAGGCAGCAGUGGGGAAUAGUGGACAAUGGGCGAAAGCCUGAUCCAGCAAUGCCGCGUGAGUGAUGAAGGCCUUAGGGUUGUAAAGCUCUUUUACCCGGGAUGAUAAUGACAGUACCGGGAGAAUAAGCUCCGGCUAACUCCGUG